rnacentral:rRNA from 1 species
UACGAAGGGGGCUAGCGUUGCUCGGAAUCACUGGGCGUAAAGGGCGCGUAGGCGGCGCGGGGAGUCAACGGUGAAAGCUCGGCGCUCAACGCCGAGUCGGCCGUCGAUACUCCCGUGCUCGAGCACUGUAGAGGCAGGUGGGAAUUCCGGGUGUAGGCGGUGGAAUGGCGUAGAGAUCCGGAAGAACACCGGUGGCGAAGGCGGCCUGCUGGGCAGUUUGCUGGACACUUGAGGCGCGGACAGCGUGGGGAGCAACAGGAUUAAGAU